rnacentral:rRNA from 1 species
GCUUGGAAGCCGGGGCGCCAGCCCUGGUGGAGCCACCCUUGAAAUACCACCCUGCGCCUUUCUGGCGUCUAACUGAGCCCGGUCAUCCCGGGCCAGGACCCUGCGUGGUGGGUAGUUUGACUGGGGCGGUCGCCUCCCAAAUGGUAACGGAGGCGCGCGAUGGUGGGCUCAGGCCGGUCGGACAUCGGCUGCUGAGUGCAAAGGCACAAGCCCGCCUGACUGCGAGCGCGACAGCGCGAGCAGAGACGAAAGUCGGCCUUAGUGAUCCGGUGGUCCCGCGUGGAAGGGCCAUCGCUCAACGGAUAAAAGGUACUCUAGGGAUAAC